rnacentral:rRNA from 1 species
GAUGAACGCUGGCGGCGUGCUUAACACAUGCAAGUCGAACGAUGAAGCCCAGCUUGCUGGGUGGUUUAGUGGCGAACGGGUGAGUAACACGUGAGUAACCUGCCCUUAACUCUGGGAUAAGCCUGGGAAACUGGGUCUAAUACCGGAUAGGAGCGUCCACCGCAGGGUGGGUGUUGGAAAGAUUUAUCGGUUUUGGAUGGACGCGCGGCGUAUCAGCUUGUUGGUGGGGUAGUGGCUCACCAAGGCGACGACGGGUAGCCGGCAUGAGAGGGUGAGCGGCCACAAUGGGACUGCGGGACGGACCAGAGUCCUACGGGAGGCAACGGUGGGGAAUAUUGCACAAUGGGCGCAAGCCUGAUGCAGCGACGCCGCGUGAGGGAUGACGGCCUUCGGGUUGUAAACCUCUUUCAGUAGGGAAGAAGCGAAAGUGACGGUACCUGCAGAAGAAGCACCGGCUAACUACGUG